rnacentral:misc_RNA from 1 species
GAAAUGCGAUAAGUAAUGUGAAUUGCAGAAUUCCGUGAAUCAUCGAAUCUUUGAACGCACAUUGCGCCCUCUGGUAUUCCGGGGGGCGUGCCUGUCCGAGCGUCAUUGCGAACCCCUCAAGCACGGCUUGUGUGAUGGGCCCUCCCGCGUCUUGGUCGUCAAGACGGGCCCGAAAUGCAGUGGCGGCUUCGCGGUUAUCCGAUCAGCCAGAGCGUAUGGGGACUCUCUCUCUGUCACACGCCCGCGGCGCGGACCGACGCCUGUCGACCUUUAUUCAUCUCUUCUUGGUUGACCUCGGAUCAGGUAGGGAUACCCGCUGAACUUAAGC